CUAUCGCUUACAGAUGGGCCCGCGGUGCAUUAGCUAGUUGGUAGGGUAAUGGCCUACCAAGGCAACGAUGCAUAGCCGACCUGAGAGGGUGAUCGGCCACACUGGGACUGAGACACGGCCCAGACUCCUACGGGAGGCAGCAGUAGGGAAUCUUCCGCAAUGGACGAAAGUCUGACGGAGCAACGCCGCGUGUAUGAAGAAGGUUUUCGGAUCGUAAAGUACUGUUGUUAGAGAAGAACAAGGAUAAGAGUAACUGCUUGUCCCUUGACGGUAUCUAACCAGAAAGCCACGGCUAACUACGUGCCAGCAGCCGCGGUAAUACGUAGGUGGCAAGCGUUGUCCGGAUUUAUUGGGCGUAAAGCGCGCGCAGGCGGUCUUUUAAGUCUGAUGUGAAAGCCCCCGGCUUAACCGGGGAGGGUCAUUGGAAACUGGAAGACUGGAGUGCAGAAGAGGAGAGUGGAAUUCCACGUGUAGCGGUGAAAUGCGUAGAUAUGUGGAGGAACACCAGUG
rnacentral:rRNA from 1 species